rnacentral:rRNA from 1 species
GACGAACGCUGGCGGCGUGCUUAACACAUGCAAGUCGAACGGAAAGGCCCUGCUUUUGUGGGGUGCUCGAGUGGCGAACGGGUGAGUAACACGUGGGUAACCUGCCCUUGACUUUGGGAUAACUUCAGGAAACUGGGGCUAAUACCGGAUAGGAGCUCCUGCUGCAUGGUGGGGGUUGGAAAGUUUCGGCGGUUGGGGAUGGACUCGCGGCGUAUCAGCUUGGUGGUGGGGUAGUGGCUUACCAAGGCUUUGACGGGUAGCCGGCCUGAGAGGGUGACCGGCCACAUUGGGACUGAGAUACGGCCCAGACUCCUACUGGACGCAGCAGUGGGGAAUAUUGCACAAUGGGCGGAAGCCUGAUGCAGCAACGCCGCGUGCGGGAUGACGGCCUUCGGGUUGUAAACCGCUUUCGCCUGUGACGAAGCGUGAGUGACGGUAAUGGGUAAAGAAGCACCGGCUAACUACGUG